rnacentral:rRNA from 1 species
UACGUAGGGUGCAAGCGUUAAUCGGAAUUACUGGGCGUAAAGCGUGCGCAGGCGGUUAUGCAAGACAGAGGUGAAAUCCCCGGGCUCAACCUGGGAACUGCCUUUGUGACUGCAUAGCUAGAGUACGGUAGAGUGGGAUGGAAUUCCGCGUGUAGCAGUGAAAUGCGUAGAUAUGCGGAGGAACACCGAUGGCGAAGGCAAUCCCCUGGACCUGUACUGACGCUCAUGCACGAAAGCGUGGGGAGCAAACAGG